GUCACGGGGGCCCAGGGGCAACUCUGGGUAACCGGCGAACGGGUGCGUAACACGUGAGCGACCUGCCGACCACAGGGGGAUAGCCGGCCCAACGGCCGGGUAAUACCGCAUACGCUCUUUUUGCUUCAUGGCGGGAAGAGGAAAACUCCGGUGGUGGUCGAGGGGCUCGCGGCUUAUCAGCUAGUUGGUGAGGUGACGGCUCACCAAGGCGACGACGAGUAGCUGGUCUGAGAGGAUGGCCAGCCACAUUGGGACUGAGAGACGGCCCAGACUCCUACGGGAGGCAGCAGUGGGGAAUCUUGCGCAAUGGUCGAAAGACUGACGCAGCGACGCCGCGUGUAGGAGGACGCCUUUCGGGGUGUAAACUACUGUUGCCCGGGACGAACAUCCCUUUUCGAGGGGACUGACGGUACCGGGUGAGGAAGCACCGGCUAACUCCGUGCCAGCAGCCGCGGUAAUACGGAGGGUGCGAGCGUUGUCCGGAAUCACUGGGCGUAAAGGGCGCGUAGGUGGCUCGUUAAGGGGGCGGUGAAAGCCCGGGGCUCAACCCCGGGUCGGCCGUGCCGACUGGCGAGCUUGAGCGUACUAGAGGCAGGCGGAAUUCCGGGUGUAGCGGUGGAAUGCGUAGAGAUCCGGAAGAACACCGGUGGCGAAGGCGGCCUGCUGGGGUACUAGACAGACUUCGGUUUGUCGGCUGACACUGAGGCGCGACAGCGUGGGGAGCAAACAGGAUUAGAUACCCUGGUAGUCCACGCCGUAAACGAUGGGCACUAGGUGCUUGGGGGAGCGACCCUCCGAGUGCCGGCGCUAACGCAUUAAGUGCCCCGCCUGGGGAGUACGGCCGCAAGGCUGAAACUCAAAGGAAUUGACGGGGGCCCGCACAAGCGGUGGAGCAUGUGGUUUAAUUCGACGCAACGCGAAGAACCUUACCUGCGCUUGACAUGUACGGGAAUGCUUCUGGAGACAGGGGCAGCUCUUCGGAGCCCGUACACAGAUGCUGCAUGGCUGUCG
rnacentral:rRNA from 1 species